UAUACAGAACAUUUGCGUCACACAUUACCUAGUUCCAUCACCAUAUCUCCCAAAACAGAAUCCACUACACGAGACCUACCUUUUAAUGUAAUUAUUUCAGCCAUCUCUGGUCAUAAAAACCUAAUUUGUUUGCUCUCUGUUCCGAACAGACUGUUCAUGCGUAAAAGCGAUUCAAGCAGAACGUGGAAGAGACACUGACACUGACACUGCACGUGUGAAUGGAAGCAGUUGGACAGCAGAAAACACAGGUCUUACAGGGGAAAGGUCAGCAUGCAGAACGAGGGAAAUGCCAGGAAAUCCAUGCUGUGAGACCAGACAAGAGAGCAAGACAUCAACUGGGGGUGAUCCUGACUGGUUGUGGUGGCCUGGCAGUGACCACAGUCAGUCUCUGGCAGUGACCACUUGGUCACCAUGCCCCGCAUUUCACCUGUGCAGUUGGCCGUGGUCAAACCUUCCUGUGCGUCAUCCGGAGAGAAUCGAUCCAGUGACCUCAUUUAACACUCUCGUGAUAUGUUCACCAGGUGCCUCUUUUUCCCCUAUAAAAUUACAUUUCAUGGUCAUGCCUGACAACCAAUAAACAAGUCAAGCCAUGCAUGACUAAUCGUACUUGUCCAAUUGAAUAAACAGUGGAACAUAAGUGAUGUUGCCAAAUUAUAUACACGUGUUCAAGACAACUCGUAGACUGACAUCUAACAGCACUGUACAAGCAGCCUAGAUUAUUUCUUUAAAUUGAAUUCUGUGCUGCGGAAUAUUCCGACCCAUCAGUUUCCCAUGAGACUGGGUUACCAGAGCCAGAGGAGGAGAAGAUAGGAGACAGGAGAGUAAGAGAAGGAAGAAAAGAGAAGAGAAGAGAGAG